rnacentral:lncRNA from 1 species
AGGGCGGGGCAUGGACCUGAGUGCUUCCGGCCGGAGUUCCCGCGUUCCCCUCGACCCCCCACUGUUGAUCCUCCUCUCGCUGUCCGGGGCAUGGCGGAGUCAGGUGGGCUGAAGUCGCACGGGGGGCGGAGCGCGAGCAGGAGGCCUUCGGCCCCCCCAGUCCUCUGUAGGACAGCACCCCCUUGCUAGAGAUUAGCAGCUGUUUGCCGAAGGUCGCUCCAGCCCUGGCUCUUUGAAGCAGUUUAAACAGUUGGUGCAAGCACACCGGGAGCCCCGGCCCGUGCGCUGCUAUCGGAGCUGCCACUCCCUGAUUUGGACCUGCAGAACCUUGCCCGCUUUAUCUCGCUCCACCGGCUGACUGUGGCGCCAGUUUCGGGGUUAGGGCUCUGAGCUGGGACCCGGACUUUGCAAGAGGCCAACUGCCCUCUGGCCCCAGGUCCCAUUCAGUUGCUGGUGCUCAAACACCUCUGCCCCAGGGAGAUGGAUGAGUCCACGCUGCAAACUCGUGCUCGCUUACUCGAAGGCCCUCCACUUCUCCCACGUGCCCUGGGCUCGGGGCCCAAGCGGUCACUCAGUAUCACUUCAUCCACCCAGAGCCCAGCAAGCGGGCACAGCUCUAACAGAAUCACCGAAGUGGAUUCUAAGACUCUCAGGGUUCCUUUACACGUACUUACUCUAUUUGGGAAUUUUGAGCUCAAUCCAGAGUUUUCCAGGAAGUGUCAUCAAAGAAGGCUUCCGAGGGCAACAGGAUUGGAUACUGGUGACGCUUUGGCCCCUUCAUCUACCCAGCUGAUCCACCAAGUGUCAAGGCCUGAGGGAUGAAUCCGCUGAUUCACACUCUUCCCAGGCUUCAAGGCUUCUUCCUCUUACUGUUGGAGCUGGAAAGAUCCUCGGACCCCUUUGGAAUUGCAAUCGAAAUGUUCUAUGGUCCAGUAGGCUGAGUAUUACGUCUGCAAACAGCCUGGUCUAUGCAAGUUUCCUGCCUUCCAGGCCUUCACAGGGAGACUUUGCAGGAAAAAAAAAAAAAGGAAAAAAA